rnacentral:rRNA from 1 species
UUGGAGGGCAAGUCUGGUGCCAGCAGCCGCGGUAAUUCCAGCUCCAAUAGCGUAUAUUAAAGUUGUUGCAGUUAAAAAGCUCGUAGUUGAAUUUCGGGAUUGACACAUCGGUCGUGCCUUAAGGGGUAUGAACUGGUGUAGUCAAUUUCUCACCUUCUGGAGAACCGCGAUGCCCUUAAUUGGGUGUCGCGGGGAACCAGGACCUUUACUUUGAAAAAAUUAGAGUGUUUAAAGCAGGCAUUUUGCUUGAAUACAUUAGCAUGGAAUAAUAAAAUAGGACGGCAUGAUUCUAUUUUGUUGGUUUCUAGGAUCACCGUAAUGAUUAAUAGGGAUAGUUGGGGGCAUUAGUAUUCAAUUGUCAGAGGUGAAAUUCUUGGAUUUAUUGAAGACUAACUACUGCGAAAGCAUUUGCCAAGGAUGUUUUCAUUAAUCAAGAACGAAAGUUAGGGGAUCGAAGACGAUCAGAUACCGUCGUAGUCUUAACCAUAAACUAUGCCGACUAGGAAUCAGACGAUGUUAAUUUUUUAAUGACUCGUUUGGCACCUUACGGGAAACCAAAGUGUUUGGGUUC